rnacentral:rRNA from 1 species
UACGUAGGUGACGAGCGUUGUCCGGAUUUACUGGGCGUAAAGGGAGCGUAGGCGGACUUUUAAGUGAGAUGUGAAAUACUCGGGCUCAACUUGAGUGCUGCAUUUCAAACUGGAAGUCUAGAGUGCAGGAGAGGAGAAUGGAAUUCCUAGUGUAGCGGUGAAAUGCGUAGAGAUUAGGAAGAACACCAGUGGCGAAGGCGAUUCUCUGGACUGUAACUGACGCUGAGGCACGAAAGCGUGGGGAUCAAACAGG